rnacentral:rRNA from 1 species
ACGCACGCUGGCGGCGUGCUUAACACAUGCAAGUCGAACGGAAAGGCCCUGCUUUUGUGGGGUGCUCGAGUGGCGAACGGGUGAGUAACACGUGAGUAACCUGCCCUUGACUUUGGGAUAACUUCAGGAAACUGGGGCUAAUACCGGAUAGGAGCUCCUGCUGCAUGGUGGGGGUUGGAAAGUUUCGGCGGUUGGGGAUGGACUCGCGGCUUAUCAGCUUGUUGGUGGGGUAGUGGCUUACCAAGGCUUUGACGGGUAGCCGGCCUGAGAGGGUGACCGGCCACAUUGGGACUGAGAUACGGCCCAGACUCCUACGGGAGGCAGCAGUGUGGAAUAUUGCACAAUGGGCGGAAGCCUGAUGCAGCAACGCCGCGUGCGGGAUGACGGCCUUCGGGUUGUAAACCGCUUUCGCCUGUGACGAAGCGUGAGUGACGGUAAUGGGUAAAGAAGCACCGGCUAACUACGUG